UACAAGCAUAAAAUUAUGGAGCAGAAAAGUUGAAUAGAUAUAUUACAGAUAUUUUCCAACGUGGAAUGAAAUACUAGAACAUAUAACAAAAACAUACUAUGCAAACAUACUUUACUUUCUUGGAUGAUAUAUCCGGAAAUAUGUUUAAGGAUUUAUUCAGACAUUGAUGAGGAAAUUACAAUCAAAAAACUACGGAGCAGAAAAGUUGAAAAGUUACAUUAACCAAAUUAAACACGGCGGAAUGAAAUACUAUGACAAAUGAGAAAAACGUACUCUGAAAACAGAUGCAAUUACUUUCUCGCAGGAUAUAUAAGGAAAUAUGAUUAAGCAUUUAUUCAGAAUGGAAUAUUUCAAUAC